UAGGGAAUUUUCCGCAAUGGGCGCAAGCCUGACGGAGCAAUACCGCGUGAGGGAUGACGGCCUGUGGGUUGUAAACCUCUUUUUUCAAGGAGGAAGUUCUGACGUGUACUUGAAGAAUAAGCAUCGGCUAACUCCGUGCCAGCAGCCGCGGUAAGACGGAGGAUGCAAAGUGUUAUCCGGAAUCACUGGGCGUAAAGCGUCUGUAGGUGGUUUAGUAAGUCAGUUGUUACAAGUUGAAGCUUAACUUCAAACCAGCAAUCGAUACUGCUAGACUUGAGUAUAGUAGAGGUAAAAGGAAUUUCCAGUGGAGCGGUGAAAUGCGUAGAUAUUGGAAAGAACACCGAUGGCGA
rnacentral:rRNA from 1 species